CAGGACGAACGCUGGCGGCGUGCCUAACACAUGCAAGUCGAACGGNGUAAAAUGCUGAAUUGAUUCUAGCUUGCUAGAGGAUUUUCUGUUUACUUAGUGGCGGACGGGUGAGUAACGCGUGAGUAACCUGCCUUACAGAGGGGGGACAACAGUUGGAAACGACUGCUAAUACCGCAUAACAUACGGAUAUCGCAUGGUAACCGUAUCAAAGGAGCAAUCCGCUGUAAGAUGGACUCGCGUCCAAUUAGAUAGUUGGUGGGGUAACGGCCUACCAAGUCGACGAUCAGUAGCCGGACUGAGAGGUUCAACGGCCACAUUGGGACUGAGAUACGGCCCAGACUCCUACGGGAGGCAGCAGUCGGGAAUAUUGCGCAAUGGAGGAAACUCUGACGCAGUGACGCCGCGUAUAGGAAGAAGGUUUUCGGAUUGUAAACUAUUGUCUGCAGGGAAGAAACAAGACUGUACCUGCAAAGAAAGCUCCGGCUAACUACGUG
rnacentral:rRNA from 1 species